UCCCUCGAGUUCCCUCCUUAAGCAAUCUCCAGUAGGCUGCUAUUACCAAAUACCUGAGUAAAUACCAGUAAAGCUGAGUGAAGAUCUUAAUUUUAUCCCAAAUAUUGGAAAGAAAGAAUAAUCACUCAUGCUAAUGACGUGCUAUACCUGUGUUCUACAUCUGCAUCUUUAAAGUUAUUGAACUUCUUUCUAAAGGCAUGUCAAAGACCAGUGGCCUGAAAUUUUUGAUUUUUAUGACAAUAAAGAUGAGAAAGAA